rnacentral:rRNA from 1 species
GAUGAACGCUGGCGGCGAGCUUAACACAUGCAAGUCGAACGAUGAAGCCCAGCUUGCUGGGUGGAUUAGUGGCGAACGGGUGAGUAACACGUGAGUAACCUGCCCUUAACUCUGGGAUAAGCCUGGGAAACUGGGUCUAAUACCGGAUAGGAGCGUCCACCGCAUGGUGGGUGUUGGAAAGAUUUAUCGGUUUUGGAUGGACUCGCGGCCUAUCAGCUUGUUGGUGAGGUAAUGGCUCACCAAGGCGACGACGGGUAGCCGGCCUGAGAGGGUGACCGGCCACACUGGGACUGAGACACGGCCCAGACUCCUACGGGAGGCAGCAGUGGGGAAUAUUGCACAAUGGGCGCAAGCCUGAUGCAGCGACGCCGCGUGAGGGAUGACGGCCUUCGGGUUGUAAACCUCUUUCAGUAGGGAAGAAGCGAAAGUGACGGUACCUGCAGAAGAAGCACCGGCUAACUACGUG